AGAGUUUGAUCAUGGCUCAGAACGAACGCUGGCGGCAGGCCUCAAACAUGCAAGUCUAGGGGGUGUAGCAAUACAUCACCGGCGGACGGGUGCGUAACACGUGGGAAUAUACCUUUUGGUUCGGAACAACUGAGGGAAACUUCAGCUAAUACCGAAUGUGUCCUUGCGGAGAAAGAUUUAUCGCCAAAGGAUUAGCCCGCGUCCGAUUAGCUAGUUGGUAGGGUAAUGGCCUACCAAGGCUCCGAUCGGUAGCUGUUCUGAGAGGAAGAUCAGCCACACUGGGACUGAGACACGGCCCAGACUCCUACGGGAGGCAGCAGUUGGGAAUCUUGGACAAUGGGGGAAACCCUGAUCCAGCCAUGCCGCGUGAGUGAUGAAGGCCUUCGGGUUGUAAAACUCUUUCGACGGGGACGAUAAUGACGGUACCCGUAGAAGAAGCUCCGGCUAACUUCGUGCCAGCAGCCGCGGUAAUACGAAGGGGGCUAGCGUUGUUCGGAAUUACUGGGCGUAAAGCGCGCGCAGGCGGUUUUCCAAGUCAGUGGUGAAAGCCCGGAGCUCAACUCCGGAACUGCCAUUGAAACUGUUAAACUUGAGGACGAGAGAGGUGAGUGGAAUUCCCAGUGUAGAGGUGAAAUUCGUAGAUAUUGGGAAGAACACCGGUGGCGAAGGCGGCUCACUGGCUCGUUUCUGACGCUCAGGCGCGACAGCGUGGGGAUCAAACAGGAUUAGAUACCCUGGUAGUCCACGCCGUAAACGAUGAUUGCUAGCCGUUGGGCAGCUUGCUGUUCAGUGGCGCAGCUAACGCAUUAAGCAAUCCGCCUGGGGAGUACGGCCGCA
rnacentral:rRNA from 1 species